CGAUCCAAUCGCCCAUGUCUUUCUGUUAUGGGUUGAAAGGAGUGAAUUGUUUGAUGGUUUGGGUUUGCCGAAGCGUCUGGUAGAGAGAAGAGGAAAGGAUUUAGGUUUUUGGGAUUGUGUGACGGGUUUAGUCAGUGUAGAGAGUUGGUGAGAGGUGAGAGCAUUAAGAGUCGCCAUGGAUGCUUAAAUUGGUUAAGGUUUCCAAGAAGAGAGCUGAUUUGCCGUAUACGAGAUCGCAUACAAGAAAGGUUCGAUCGAGGAACCAGAAAGCGUACAGUAGCUUUUUCUUUUCCUUCCCCGCAAUCAAAAGAGAAGUCGACUACAGAUU
rnacentral:misc_RNA from 1 species